rnacentral:rRNA from 1 species
GACGAACGCUGGCGGCGUGCCUAAUACAUGCAAGUAGAACGCACAGUUUAUACCGUAGCUUGCUACACCAUAGACUGUGAGUUGCGAACGGGUGAGUAACGCGUAGGUAACCUGCCUGGUAGCGGGGGAUAACUAUUGGAAACGAUAGCUAAUACCGCAUAAUAUUAAUUAUUGCAUGAUAAUUAAUUGAAAGGUGCAAUUGCACCACUACCAGAUGGACCUGCGUUGUAUUAGCUAGUAGGUGAGGUAACGGCUCACCUAGGCGACGAUACAUAGCCGACCUGAGAGGGUGAUCGGCCACACUGGGAAUGAGACACGGCCCAGACUCCUACGGGAGGCAGCAGUAGGGAAUCUUCGGAAAUGGACGAAAGUCUGACCGAGCAACGCCGCGUGAGUGAAGAAGGUUUUCGGAUCGUAAAGCUCUGUUGUAAGAGAAGAACGGGUGUGAGAGUGGAAAGUUCACACUGUGACGGUAUCUUACCAGAAAGGGACGGCUAACUACGUG